AUUAUCUAUGGCUGUGAUAUUUGUUUAUUUAAUUUUUUUUUUGAGGUUAAUUAUAUCAUUUUUAUUCCCCGUUGUAUUUUGAUUAAAACAUUUUUAAUUUAAAUAAUGUUUCAAUAAGUUACUUGAAGAAUAAUUAUUUAUUGUAAAGAUGGUUGUAAAAGUUUUCAGAUACAAAUAUUGGCAAGCAGUUGGACUAAAAUUAUAUUUCUAAAAAGAGAUCAAUCAUCGAGAUGAUAUUGAAUCCGGACAAUUCCUAUAACUCGCCGAUGUACCUAUUAAUCCGAAUGUUGAAUGGAAACCUAUGGAAAUAUCUGACCAAGGCAUUUUAUGAAAAUACUGAUUCGCCAAAACACUUACGGAAUAGCUGACCGAGCACUUUUUAUGGAUUUUCAAUGUUUUAUUAAAUAAAUUAAAGG